CAGCCGCCACGGUAAUACAGAGGGUGCAAGCGUUAAUCGGAAUUACUGGGCGUAAAGCGCGCGUAGGUGGUUUGUUAAGUUGGAUGUGAAAGCCCCGGGCUCAACCUGGGAACUGCAUCCAAAACUGGCAAGCUAGAGUACGGUAGAGGGUGGUGGAAUUUCCUGUGUAGCGGUGAAAUGCGUAGAUAUAGGAAGGAACACCAGUGGCGAAGGCGACCACCUGGACUGAUACUGACACUGAGGUGCGAAAGCGUGGGGAGCAAACAGGAUUAGAUACCCGGGUAGUCCCUGUCUCUUAUAC
rnacentral:rRNA from 1 species